GUAUUUGGGCGAUUAACGUAAUGUUCUAUUAAACAGGAUUGUGAAGCAGAAUUGCCAUCCAAUUCCAAGGUGAUUCAUUGCACCCUUAAUGAAUGGUCCUGAGGGAAGCCCGGUCGAAGAUAUUAGCGAAUAAACAAGAGGGUGUGAUUAUUUAGUAGUUUUUUUUAUUUUUGUAGGAAUGAAAUUUUAUUGUGACCCGAACCUAAAGCAAGUGGUACAGUUUGCAAAGAAAAUGGAGAAGAUCACGCGAAAUGUUGGUGCGGAUUCAACAGUUCCAUGUGGAAACCCAAGUGCGAAAUAAUGAAGCCGUGCAGCCAAACCAAUGAAUUUUGACGUGAUUAAACUGUGUAAUCAAC
rnacentral:lncRNA from 1 species